rnacentral:rRNA from 1 species
CCUACGGGUGGCAGCAGUGGGGGAUAUUGCACAAUGGGCGGAAGCCUGAUGCAGCGACGCCGCGUGGGUGAAGGAGUCUUUCGGUAUGUAAAGCUCUUUCGGCAGGGAAGAAUUUAGACGGUACCUGCCUUAGUAACACCGGCCAAAUACGUGCCAGCCGCCGAGGUACUUCGCAGGGGUCCAGCGUUAUCCGGAUUUACUGGGUGUAAAGGGAGCGUAGACGGGCAGGCAAGCGAGGCGUGAAAGCCCGGGGGCCAACCCGGGAACUGCAGUGGGAACUGGGUGGCUAGAGUGAGGGAGGGGCAGGCGGAAUUCCUGGUGUAGCAGUGAAAUGCGUAGAUAUGAGGAAGAACACCGGCGGCGAAGGCGGCCUGCUGGACCGCAACUGACGGUGAGGCGCGAAAGCGUGGGGAGCGAACAGGAUUAGAUACCCCAGUAGUC